AAGGAAAAGGGCUCCUAGAUGGAAACACAGGCUUGCUACUGAUUAAUAUGCCUGGCUGAGGCCAUGGGCCCCGCGGGGGGUGUGCAGCCUGCUGAGGUCCUAAAUCACGAGGCUUCCGAUCACUCCUUUGUCUGGGAAGCCCUGGAUGGGGUGGGGCCUCCCUUAAGUCGCCUCAGCCAGCCCACUCCCCUCCGUACCCCUUCCUGGGGGCAAGCCCCACGUCUGUCAGCCUCCCUGGCAUCAGGUUGGGGCCUAGAGACCCCUGGAGGCAGUCGGUGGGGGUCUGUGGCAGCCCUGCUGGGGCUUGGAGCUCUUCAAACAGUUGAGGAAGCUGCUGUGUGUGGGCCCUGCCAGGCCUGCAGGGACCGAAGCCCAACCCCCUUUCCCAUGGGUGACUUGGGACCAGAACCCUGGGUACCUCCUGGGGGUGAGGGACUCCUGUGUCCUUAGCCCAGCACCCUGUCUGCCCCACUCACGCCCACUCUGCCUGGGCCCCCCAGCUCCUGGACACACACUGUCCAUGCCUGCCCUCUUUUGUGGGUGUCACUGACCCCCGCAUGGAGGAGCAGCAGGGCUGGGGUCAGGCUGAGUUUCAGGGCUGCCGCCAGGUGGGGAAAGCGUGCGUGGUCAGAGGUGGGGCUUGCAGCCUGUGGUCUUGCUGGAGGGGGCAUCAGCCACGCUGGCUGCCCUGAGGGCUGUGACGUGUAGGCAGAGGGGGCCUCUGCAGCCCAGCUGUGGCCCCUGCUGGGGCAUCUUCCCACCAUGAAGACACAGGCACCCAGCGAGGCAUCUGCCAGACACUCAGAGGCCCCUGGAUGGAGGUGUCCUGAAGGCAGCUGACAGGGGCUGGGGUCUCGAGAACAGGGACUUGUGCCCACUUGGGGGUGUCUGGGUUGUCCCAGGGAUGGGGGUGGGGGAGGGGAGCCCAGGCCAGCUCAGGGCCCCACACUCAGGGGCUGAGCAGGACGCAACAGCCACAGUCCCUGGACCUGGGGCCAAGGGUUCUGAGGUGGGGGCGGUGUUCUGGGCUCUCUGGGAGUGGGGGCCUGGCAAAGGUUUCCUGGCAGUACCAGGUUUCCAUGAGGUGCAUGGCCCUGGUCCCUGGCAUGCUAUGGGGCAGAGGCUGUGGGGCCUUUUGGGUCCCCGUCUGAGCCUGCCCCCUGCACAGUUCUUCCUGCUGCUGCUGCUGGUGUUCCUGCUGGAGGCCACCAUCGCCAUCCUCUUCUUCGCCUACACGGACAAGAUUGACAGGUAUGCCCAGCGAGACCUGAAGAAAGGCUUGCACCUGUACGGCACGCAGGGCAACGUGGGCCUCACCAAUGCCUGGAGCAUCAUCCAGACCGACGUGAGGCGUGGGCAGGUGGGCGGGGUCAGCGGGUGCCCCCUCCCCUCCCGCCUCAGCCCGACCAGAGCUUGCCCUCCAGUUCCGCUGCUGUGGCGUCUCCAACUACACUGACUGGUUUGAAGUGUACAACGCCACACGGGUGCCUGACUCCUGCUGCCUGGAGUUCAGUGAGAGCUGUGGGCUGCACGCCCCCGGCACCUGGUGGAAGGCGCCGUGCUACGAGACAGUGAAGGUGUGGCUUCAGGAGAACCUGCUGGCUGUGGGCAUCUUCGGGCUGUGCACGGCGCUGGUGCAGAUCCUGGGCCUGACCUUCGCCAUGACCAUGUACUGCCAGGUGGUCAAGGCGGACACCUACUGCGCGUAGGCCGCCCGCCGCCCGCUUCUCUGCCAAAAGGACACCCACGGGGAGAUGGCCGCGCCCACAGCUGCCUUUCCCACCACCAGCCUCGGUGCUCUGCCCCAUGCUGGGAGGAGGGAGGGAGGAAGGAACAGGUGCCUGGAGCCCCCGGAACCCUGUUCCUGGAAGGCCCUGGCUCAGGUGGCUUCAGGGCAUCCGGACCCCCUCCCCCCACCCCGGGAGGGGUGGCCACACGCUGGCUGCGGGACCCGGGGCAGGGGUGGGAGGGGCCUCCAGCACUUUUUAUAUUUACGUAUUCUCCAGAGCAGUGUUCACACGGGAGCCAGCCUGUGGCCCCCAGCCUCCCGGGAAACGGGCUGGGGCUGGAGGAGCCGGGUCUCGGCAUCCUGGAGGUGGCCCCGCUGGUCCUGGUGCUCCAGGCAGGGCCGUGGACCCCUCACCUACAUUCCAUAGUGGGCCCGUGGGGCUCCUGGUGCAUUUUAAUAAAGUGUGAGCAGCAG
rnacentral:sRNA from 1 species